rnacentral:tRNA from 2 species
GGGGCUGUGGGGUAGUUUGGUCCAUCCUGCGUGGUUUGGGACCACGCGACCCCGAUUCAAAUUCGGGCAGCCCCA